rnacentral:rRNA from 1 species
AGAGUUUGAUCCUGGCUCAGGAUGAACGCUAGCGGGAGGCCUAACACAUGCAAGCCGAGCGGUAUUUAUUCUUCGGAAUAGAGAGAGCGGCGUACGGGUGCGUAACACGUGUGCAACCUGCCUUUAUCUGGGAGAUAGCCCUCCGAAAGGGGGAUUAAUAUUCCAUAAUAUAUUAAUUGGCAUCAAUUGAUAUUGAAAGCUCCGGCGGAUAGAGAUGGGCACGCGCAAGAUUAGAUAGUUGGUGAGGUAACGGCACACCAAGUCUGCGAUCUUUAGGGGGCCUGAGAGGGUGAUCCCCCACACUGGUACUGAGACACGGACCAGACUCCUACGGAGGCAGC